GUUUGUGUAUAAAGCACGUUUACAUAUAAGGGCCAUGGAUUUUCGGGUGUACUAUAUAGGCAGAAUAACUUGGCUUUAAUAACUAACAGUGCAAGCCUAUGCAUAUCUACUUUGAAGAAAGCCUCACUGAGUUCAACUGCAUUUACAGACAGAUUCAAGUUGCUCUGCAUCCUCUGAAAUAGUUUCACCAUCUGGUUCAUCAGAUGCUUUCUUCUCUUCGUUGUAAUACUGGAAGAACAUAAAGAUGCAUUUUCCAGAAUGUUGAUAACAGUACUGGAUCUUCCCUUUUCCCACUGUCGUCUGUGAGGGUUUGGUAAAACAGCUUCCAGGGACACAUCAUACUUUCCUAAUAAAAUGUUUUAUUA